rnacentral:lncRNA from 10 species
GUUGUUUUGGAAGUGGGAAGGGUGGGUGGGAGCACUCGAGAUCCCUCCUGCUAACCCCCUGGAGCCGGACCCUGCACGCCCAGGGCCUUGAGGGACACCGAGGCACUUCAGCCCCGGGGGUGGGAGGCGUGGAGCUCGUGCGCGAGCUCAGCCAGAUGUUCCGGGCGGUUGCAGAUGUGCCUCGGGGCCGGGGACAGGACUUUCCUCCUCCCUAGCCCCCAGCCUGGAGCUCAGGUGGCAGCUAGACAUUGAGUACGUGUGGACACAAGGAAGAGAACAAUAGACACGGGGGCCUGUCUGAAGGUGGAUUGGGGGAGGAGGGUAAGGACUGAAAAACUACGUAUCGGAUAUUAUGCUGAUUACCCGGAUGACAAAAUUAUCUAUAUGCCAAACUCCCACAACAUGCAAUUUAUCCAUGUAACAAACCUGUACAUGUACCCCCUUGAACCUAUAAGUUGGAAAGGAAAAAAAUAUGAGAUAUAGCUUUUAUACCACACAUUCACCAUGUUACAGUGUACUGUUCAGUGGUUUUUAGUAUAUUCACAAAGUUGCACAACCAUCACUACUUUCUAAUUUCAGGACAUUUUCAUCCAUCACCCCAAGAAUCAAUCCAAUACCCACUAGUAGUCACUCUUCAUUCCACCCACCACUCCAGCCCCUAGAAACUGCUGAUUCUUUUUGUCUCUAUGGAUUUUCCUAUUCUGGACAGUUCAAGUUCAUUUUCAUGUUUAUCUAUGUUGUAGCAUGUAUCGUACUCCUUCAUUUAUUUGUAUGGUUGGUUAAUAUUUUAUUGUAUGGAUAUAUACAUUUUGUUGACUCGUUCAUCAGUUGAGGGACAUUUGGGUUGUUUCUACUUUUUGGCGAUUACAAAUAAUGCUUCUAUGAACAUUCACGUGCCAAGUGUUGGUAUGAAAUACAUGCUUUCAGUUCUCUUGUGUAUGUACCUAGGGAUGGAAUUGCUGGAUCAUAUGGUAAUUAUAUAACUUUAAGGGAACUGUCAAACUGUUCUCCAUAGUGGCUGUACCUUUUUUUUUUUUUUUUUUUUUGAGAUGGAGUUUCACUCUUGUUGCCCAGGCUGAAGUGCAAUGGCGCAAUCUUGGCUCACUGCAACUUCUGCCUCUUGGGUUAAAGUGAUUCUCCUGCCUCAGCCUCCUGAGUAACUGGGAUUAUAGGCGCCUGCCACAAUGCCCGGCUAAAUUUUUUUGGGUUUGUUUUUGUUUUUGUUUUGAGACAGAGUCUCACUCUGUCUCCCAGGCUGGAGUGAGUGCAAUGGCGCGAUCUCGGCUCACUGCAACAUCCAGCUCCUGGAUUUGAGCGAUUCUCCUACCUCAGCCUCCCGAGUAGCUGGGAUUACAGGCGGCUGUCACCACGCUGGGCUAAUUUUUUUUGUAUUUUUAGUAGAGACUGGGUUUCACCAUGUUGGCCAAGCUCAUCUCAAACCCCUGACCUCACGUGAUCUGCCGCCUCGGCCUCCCGAAGUGCUGGGAUUACAGGCGUGAGCCACUGCACCUGGCCCAAUUUUUUGUAUUUUUAGUAGAGACGGGGUUUGCCAUGUUGGCCAGGCUGGUCUCGAACUCCCGACCUCACAUGAUCCACCCGCCUCAGCCUCCCAAAGUGCUGGGAUUACAGGCAUGAGCCACUGCGCCCAGCUGUGGCUGUCCUAUUUUACAUUAUGAGAGUUCCAGUUUUUCCGCAUUCUUGACAACACUUGUUAAUUUGGUAUUUUUUAUUAUAACCAUCCUGGUAAGUGUGAAUAGCAUAUCGUAUGGUGGUUUUGAUUUGCAUUUCCCCAGUGACUAAUGAUGUGGAGUAUCUUUUUAUGUGCUUAUUGGCUAUUUGUAUAUCUUCUUUGGAGAAAUACCUGUUCAAAUAUUUUGC